rnacentral:rRNA from 1 species
GAUGAACGCUGGCGGCGUGCCUAAUACAUGCAAGUCGAGCGAACAGAUGAGGAGCUUGCUCCUCUGACGUUAGCGGCGGACGGGUGAGUAACACGUGGAUAACCUACCUAUAAGACUGGGAUAACUUCGGGACACCGGAUCUAAUACCGGAUAAUAUAUUGAACCGCAUGGUUCAAUAGUGAAAGACGGUUUUGCUGUCUCUUAUAGAUGGAUCCGCGCCGCAUUAGCUAGUUGGUAAGUUAACGGCUUACCAAGGCAACGAUGCGUAGCCGACCUGAGAGGGUGAUCGGCCACACGGGAGCUGAGACACGGUCAAGACUCCUACGGGAGGCAGCAGUAGGGAAUCUUCCGCAAUGGGCGAAAGCCUGACGGAGCAACGCCGCGUGAGUGAUGAAGGUCUUCGGAUCGUAAAACUCUGUUAUUAGGGAAGAACAAAUGUGUAAGUAACUAUGCACGUCUUGACGGUACCUAAUCAGAAAGCCACGGCUAACUACGUG